GGGGCUUGACAUCGGGGGACAUCCGUAGAGAUACGGUUUUCUAGCAAUAGAACUCCCAGAC
rnacentral:rRNA from 1 species